CCUACGGGAGGCAGCAGUGGGGAAUAUUGCACAAUGGGGGAAACCCUGAUGCAGCAACGCCGCGUGAGUGAAGAAGGAUUUCGGUAUGUAAAGCUCUAUCAGCAGGGAAGAGAAUGACGGUACGUGACUAAGAAGCCCCGUCUAACUACGAGCCAGCUGCCGCGAUAAUACGUAGGCGGCAAGCGUUAUCCGGAUUGACUGGGUGUAAAGGGAGCGUAGACGGCUGUACAAGUCUGAAGUGAAAGCCCGUGGCUCAACCGCGGAACUGCUUUGGAAACGGUAAAGCUGGAGUACGGGAGAGGCAGGCGGAAUUCGUAGUGUAGCGGUGAAAUGCGUAGAUAGUAGGAGGAACACCAGUGGCGAAGGCGGCCUGCUGGACAGAAACUGACGUUGAGGCUCGAAAGCGUGGGGAGCAAACAGGAUUAGAUACCCGUGUAGUC
rnacentral:rRNA from 1 species